rnacentral:lncRNA from 1 species
AUGGAGAGUGGAAAAUAGAUGGCAUAUUCUUCUCUUAAAUCAUUAAAAAAUUCUUCUCUUAAAUCAUUAAGCCGCAGGGUCCCCACCGACUCUGGUGCCAAGGGAGCAGGCAUGAAUCCCACUGUCUGCCAGUCACUGUUCUCCUAAAGAUGAGCUUGGCGCCAAGAGCUCCUUGAUCACAGAUCCCACCUCAGGCUGCUGUUAACAAGGGCACCAGUGCCACUCUCCUGCCCCACAGCCAUUUAACAGUCCAGGCUUCCAACCAAAUUAAGCGGAAGACUCCUGGGCCUGGCACGUAGACGUCAGGAGAUGUGCUCCAUCCCUCCCCGUAGGGGUGGGCCCUGCAUCCUGUUAACAACGGCCACACGUAACCGUAACCGAGUUGUGACUCGGGCCAGGCACUGUGUUUGAGCCACGUGGCCUCGACCCAAUGGGCGGAGCACACUGAGUUGGGAGUGACGCCUGACCCAGGCUGUACCAAUCGAAUCCUCUUCCCUCCCAGAGUGUAGACACGGGACCCUUGACUCAGCGGCUGGCUGCCACGUUUGGCCUGUGUGCAUGGCAAAGCAGCCAGAGUCGGCCUGCAGAGAUGGGGAGAGCUGGGGUGGGAAUCUGUGGACACUGAUCCCAGAGAAACAAGAAAAAUUCACCCCACUUCCUCACCCUCUUCUGUCCUGUCCCUGGGCUCCCAAAGCCCAGCUGUGCCUCUGCCACUGAGUUCGAUGAAGGCUGCCCUUGUCUGCCCCCCUAUAAAUCAAGCUGACUGGCUUGAGUGGGUUUCUGUUCCUUGUAACCAAAUAAUCCAUAAGACCCUGCCUUGCCUCAGCUAGAAAGCCCACCAGUUCUUCUGUGCUCAUCAGCUAAUAAGAAUGUUGCUGGUGGAGUUCCUGUUGUGGCUCAGUGGCAACGAACCUGACUAGUAUCCAUGAGGAUGCGGGUUCGAUCCCUGGCCUUGCUCACUGGGUUAAGGAUCUGGUUUUGCCGUGAGCUGUGACGUAGGUUGCAGACACAACUCAGAUCUGAUAUUGCUGUGGCUGUGGUGUAGGCUGGCAGCUACAGCUCUGAUUUGACCCCUAGCCUGGGAACUUCCACAUGCUGCAGGUGCAGCCCUAAAACACACACACACACAUACACACAGAAUAUCCCUGGAAAGGUGCAGACAGGGCACUGCUGGAUGGAGGUGGCUAAUGCGUGCUUUAGGUCCUUUGUAUCUUGGUGUGAACCAGUUCAGUAACUUCUGUUCCCCCAGGACUAAGAUCAGGGACAUUUGGGGGACUCAAGAGAUUUGAUGAGAAGAGAAAAGCAAGAAGCUAUUUUAGAGUCUGGGCUCCCGGAGGAAGGCAGGGCUGGGUGCAGGGAAGACAACUUCAGCCACUGAAUAACAUGCCCAAGGUGAGUCCUGCUCCCAGUAAUAAGGAAAAUAAUUCAUUAUCAUUAUGACUCAUUACUAUUUUUAAUUUACACAAUGCCUUCCUUCCCAGGAACUCAUUAUGUCGAUGCAGGUUCAUUAUGAGAAGGCGAUUUGGGAGUGGAAUUUAUGUUAGACAUAGUCUUCUAAAUAUGGCAACAAGGGCUUUAUGACAUGGGUACACGACUUGAAGCAACUCUCCCUAUAAGCUAAUUAGGAAGGGAUGUUAAACUGUCGAGCCAGGUGAUGGUGAAGGAGAGACGCGGAGGGCUCAUCAAGCAUUACUGAGACCACGUUUCCCUCCAAAUACUAAAUUCACGUGCUCCUGAAAUCAUACUGUAUCGUGGAUAUGCUCUAUUUUACCAGCAUUACAGUUAUUAUUCGAUGAGAAAGAUAAACUGCAGGGUUUACAGGAGGACUAGAGUUUCCUUUUUUUUUUUUUUUUUUUGGCUGCACCUGCAGCAGGUGGAAGUUGCUGGGAGGAUCAAACCUGCGCUACAGCAGUGACAAUACUGAAUCCUUAACCACAAGGCCACCGGGGAACUCUUGAUUGGAGUUUCGAUUAAGAAACCUUUGAGGCUGGCUUGAAUGAAAGUGGCUUUCGUUCCUCCCCGGUGGCUACGUGCUUCCACCAACUGUACUUUCUGCAGGAGAAAAUCACCAUCCUUUUACCCCUGGGAAGUUACUGGUGUGGAUUUUAAAGGAGCAGACAGCUGCAUGGUGAACCACUGGGUAUUUCUCCACUGGGACAGGAACGCAAAUGUCCUAUAGCGAGCCCAAGAGACUCACGCAUUGACUUUAUACACAACAGAAAGACCAUUGCACAGAUCCUAUCACGGGGGGCAAGCCAGCAGCACUGAGCCCGGAGCAAAUGAGGCACUAAGAGGCAUUCACGUCAUCAGCUUCUCGUGAGGCAUUUACGCUUGGUUUGGGGUCAGACAGUGCUGACAUCACCUUGCCCCCAUCGUCAACUCCCACCACCCCUUAUCCAGUUCCAUUCACUCAGCAACUAUUUACCAAGGCCCUGCUAAAUGCCAGACCCAGUGCCAAUUACCGUGAGGGCCCCCUGCCAGCAUGGUGUUCACCAGGCACUAACGGGUUAUUAUGUAAUUAACCUACCUUCAUAGUCAGGUAACACUUUUCGGCAUAUUCCAUGAGGAGGGGGUGGGAGUGGCAUCAGGCCACAUUAGCAAUGAGGUGACACCUGCACCAAGAUUCUGAGCAGAGGAGGGAAUAAGCUGGCAGGGUGCCAGGGAUGGGAAGGAGGGUGUCCAGGCAUGGAGCACAGCCUGUGCCAAGAGCCUGUGGGUUGGAGGCCUCACUCAAGGGUGGCUAAAGCCCGGUGAGCAGGUGGGGAGCGUUUUUAAACGUGGGAAUGGACAUCUGCGAGCAUCAAGGGAAGGGGCCACCUCUCCCCUGGGUCACCUGCCUGGGCUCCAGGUCACAGAGAGAAAUGUGAUAAUGCUGUCUUCCCCCAGCCACCCAAGGUCGGUGCCUCCCAGCGCUACAACUAAACCAGUGUUUUUGGUGCAAGGGGACUGGGCUCCCUGCUGUCACAUCCAAGGCAGCCUGUUGGUACCACAUCUACGACACAAUGAAAGAGCCCACUUUACAAUGGGGAGAGUGGACUCAUUAAAAACACAAAGGUGCUUAAUUGGGAUUUUGUUUCAGAAAUUCCCCAAAUGAGUACCCAGUAGAUCUGCUGUGAGGAGCACUCUUCAAAACACCCACGGGGAGUUUCUGCUGCAGCGCACUGGGUUAAAGAUCUAGCAUUACUGCAGCUGUAGCUCGCAGGUCUGGCUCGGAUAUGAUUCCUGGCCUGGGGAUUUCUAUAAGCCACUGGUGUGGCCAAUAAAUAAAUAAAAACACCCAUAUAAUCCUAGCCAGAUCAUCAGAUAAGGGCCAGGAGGGGGCCCCAGACCAGGAUGGGGCCCCAGACCAGGAUGGGGCCAGGCACCUCACAGCCUUCCUGGAUUGGGGAGAGUGCCCCUGGGCACUGACUCACCAGAAAGGCAAGAGAAGCAGCCCCCACAAGCCCCUCCUCCCAGGGGCUGCAGAUGCUCAGACCCCAACCCAAAGCUGCGGGGAGGGCAGGUGAGGAGGCCCAGGCACUGGAAGUUGCUUCUCGAUGGCUGGCAGAAAACCAAAGCCAAUGAGCAAAUGAUCUCUGACUCUGGGGUUUAUUCUUCCUUCUCUCCUUAGCAGGGCUGCACAGAGCCUCCCACUGUGGUUUUAGACCAAGAGCCUCACUGAGGGCUCCCAAGUCCUUCUAGGGGCCAAGAGGGUCCUAGCUUGUAGCUUCAGGAGUUCCACUCUCCCCUCACUCACUCCUCACUCCCCAAUCCAUCAAUCCUCUAGAUGAAAAAUGUCUUAAUGAGAGGAGUGAUGAGCUGGGGCUUGCCCUAGAAUAUAUUAAAAUGUAUGUGAAUAAUUAGAAUUGUGUGGUCCCAAAGUAAUAUGAAAAGAUCAGUGGAACAGACUAGAGCGUGGAAAAAGAAGCAAUUCAGUGAGAAAUUUGGUAUAUGAUAAAGACGGCAGCACAACACAAAAGAAAGAUUAUGCGAUAAAUAAGCAGACAUAUGACACUACUUAUUAAGAAUAC